ACAAUUAUCCACAAGGGCUUGCUGGCGACUUCAAAGGGGAUAACAUUGCAAGCAUACGGCAAUGAUCCAGAAGACUGCUGGGGAUACAAUUGCUAGCAACCGGCAAUUGUACACAAGAAAAAAAAGAAUAUCAACAUCGAAUACUGAAUGAAGAUAACCACAAAGAGUAACCAUCAUCGGUUAGGAUGAACAACAAAGUUAACUCUGCAAUGGGGGGAAAUUAGGGUUUACAUCUACCGAAUACGGGGUAGAAAACCAACCAACUCUUGCUGAGGUAAAAUUGCUAGCAACCGGCAAUUAUCCACAAAAAGCACAGACUCCG
rnacentral:lncRNA from 1 species